rnacentral:rRNA from 1 species
ACCCAGACUCCUACGGGAGGCAGCAGUGGGGAAUAUUGCACAAUGGGGGGAACCCUGAUGCAGCGACGCCGCGUGGGUGAAGGAGCACCUCGGUGCGUAAAGCCCUAUCGGCAGGGAAGAAAAGCGAACAGGUUCGCCUGGACGGUACCUGACUAAGAAGCCCCGGCUAACUACGUGCCAGCAGCCGCGGUAAUACGUAGGGGGCAAGCGUUAUCCGGAUUCACUGGGUGUAAAGGGGGCGCAGACGGCAAUGCAAGCCAGGAGUGAAAGCCCGGGGCCCAACCCCGGGACUGCUCUUGGAACUGCAUGGCUGGAGUACAGGAGGGGCAGGCGGAAUUCCUAGUGUAGCGGUGAAAUGCGUAGAUAUUAGGAGGAACACCAGUGGCGAAGGCGGCUUUCUGGACGACAACUGACGCUGAGGCGCGAAAGUGUGGGGAGCAAACAGGAUUAGAUACCCGUGUACC